GAGGGUGUAGCUCAGUGGUAGAGCCCAUGCUUAGCAUGCAUGAGGUCCUGGGUUCAAUCCCCAGUACCUCCA
rfam:Camelus ferus unplaced genomic scaffold scaffold434, whole genome shotgun sequence.